GAGAAAGGGAAAUAGACCCCUUGCCUCUUGUGGUGCCAGGUAGCUGUGUUCGAACGAGGUAGUGUGGAGAUGGACUGGAAGAAGAAACGGGAGUGCAGAAACUCCAGGGUCUGUCUGGGUGGUCCCCUCAUCUCCGCUUUGCCUGUACAGCCAUACUGGCUCAGUAGAGCGCUCCCUAGGACACCACCCAGAGAAAACCUUCUGGAAUCGCCAAUCCAGGACAACCACAGGAGAUUGAUCAAGGCAAAGCAAAUAUUCUAGUCUUCUCCAAGAUACGGGAUGGAGGGCUAGGAAGAGGGGAAGGAAGAAUCACCCAGUGAGACAAAAUUCUUCGUAGGAAUUAUAUUUUCCCUUGCCCUCACCCAACAUCGCCUAUCUCAAAAAUAAUUU
rnacentral:lncRNA from 1 species